GACAUGGGGAAGGGCAGUUCUCAUCAUGUAUUUUGCCUCCUUGUUUUCAGUUCCAACUAGAACGAUUCUUAUUGAUUACAGUUUUACAGUCUACCUUUUAACCUCAUGGAAUUUUUACAUGGUUCACCGGAAAAGAAAUCUCCAGAUCCCCUAAGAUGAAUCACCUAGUAUUCUGUCCCAACUCAUGAGUUUGAGAAUCAACGCUGCAUCAUCAACAUGAACCGUCCUAGGUGGAAACCACCAUUACUUGGACAGAAAGAACCGGCAUGGUUUGAGAAUCAAAACUGCAUCAUCAACAUGAAUCAUGCAAUUAGAAUCUAGUUAAAGUAACAGUCCUAAUGCCAGCUUUUUGACAAACUAAAAGUCUAUGACUACACACAAGCAAAACAAGUCUAGAUACAGACAUAGAGUGCUUAAGUAGUAGUUUGCAACAAAUUCCUUGCUUUUCAGCCGGGAAACAGGUUAAAGGACAUGAAGAAUUUACUCAUAGUAAAAUGAAUGCACAAAAAUAAAAAGGCACAAGUUUCUGCACAUCUGCAGCACAAAAUUGCAGCAAGUUUCUACUCUUGGAUUCUUUUAAAGAGAAGGCAAUGGUUAACAUUCUGGAUGGGGCAAGUUGUCCGUUUUGGGAAGAUCUCUGGAUGCUUAAGAGUCCCUAAACAACAUUUCCCUGAGCUCUAUUCUUUUGCUAAGGAUUCAAUUCACUCAAGUCUGCCAGGGAGGCAGCAGGCCCGGCCUCUUUGCUUCAUCUGCCUAUUUCAUCAACUGCAUUGCAGCAAUUGACAGCACUAUCCCAAGACUUUUCUAGCAUUAAUGACACUCAUGAACCGGAUUUCUGGUCAUAUAUUUGGGGGGUCACCUAUCUACUCCUCCUCCAAAGCAUAUAUCCACAUCACUGGCCAUAGAGUGGUACAUGCAGCUUUCAAAUGGCUAUGGAAGUCGGCGUGUCAAAAUAAGCACAGAGUUUUCUUCUGGCUUCUUCUCAAGGACAUGCUCAGCACCAGAGAAUUAUUGAGGCGAAAAAACAUCUUCUCCCUUAUCAUACCUGUGUAUGCUGUGUAGACAGUGAAAAAGAAUCAUUGGCUCAUCUUUUUAUUCAUUGCUCUUUUGCCCAAGCUUGCUGGGCCUCCAUUGGUCUUUUGGUGGGUGCAGAUGGCCCAUUUGAUACGCUUCUAGAUCCCAAGGACCAGUUGGGCGUUCCGUUCUUCAUGGAAGUGAUCAUCACCCUGAGUUGGUGCAUUCGGAUGCAGCGAAAUAAUCUCAUUUUAAAGGAUUGCAGCCACACCCUAAUAAUUAUCUUAGUCACUUCAAGAGAGAAUUUGCCCUAGUUAUUCUAAGGGCAAAAGCAAGUUUAAAACCCCAGAUGUCUGAAUGGCUAGAAGCCCUCUAUAAUUUUUCUUUCUUUCUUUCUUUCUUUCUUUCUUUAUGUCUUGAGUCACUGGACGGAUUGUUGUCUUUUUUUAUUUUUUUUAUUUCUUCCAUUUUAAUAUAUAACUAGUAAGGGGAGCACCCCUCCUGUUUCAUAAAAAAAUAAUUUAGGCACCAUGAGGGGCAGGUAGUUCAGUUCCUGACAAAUUCUUGGUAUCCUGCAGCGUGCAGCUCCAGGACCCAGCAAAUCCAAAAGAAAAUUCACACUGCUCAGCUCCAUUUAAUGAAGAAAAUCGCCAUGGAAUAAAACUCUAGCAUUGCAGACUAACCGGUAUCCACAUCAAGGCUCGCUGCACUGAAUCAGGGUAAGGCGAAGAACAGAAUCGCGGGAAGAGAACAGAUUACCUUGACGGCGAUGGUGGGGGGUGGGAGUAGGGCUGCUGGCUGCUGCUGCUGGCCUAGGGUUCUCGGCGACAGCGCCACCAGCUUCUCUGGCCGGUGGCCACCCAUAGAACUCGCCUCCGGCGACAGGACCGGCCAUAACAAGCAGAGGCAGCCAGCGAU
rnacentral:lncRNA from 1 species